ACUCAAGGAUCAACAACGUCUUUCUAGGUUUAUCAGUGGUGGGCACCGAUCACUUUUUUGCUUUUCCAAUCCCCGAUCAUCCGAUCAGUUUGGGCAACUGAUCCGAUUCCGAUUAUCCGAUCAUUUUUUAAGUACUGCUGUUCCGAUCACCAUUCCGAUCAUCCGAUCAUUAAAACUUAUAAUAAUUACUAAUUUUUUAAAAUAAUAAUUACAAGAAACACCUAUUUUAGGCAUUCCUUAAGUAAUAAUAUGAAAUAAGUGAUAACUUAAUUAUUUGCUCAUAAAUAUCUUUAUUUUUCCUCUUUCUUUUGGUAUACAGGACGUGGUUAAGAAAUUAUAUAUAUAUAGCAUUAAUCACGCCAUGGACAAUGUCGAUUCGAAUCCCCACGCUACCACCUGCUAUUUUUUAGCCACCGCCGAGUGGCCUAAUACUACUCACAGGCUGUCCAGAAGACCACCUAUCAUCCCGGAUUCUAAAAGAAACCGCACAAGCGAAUCAAAAAUGAGUUCCAGGGGGCAGCAUGAGCCAAGCAUAACUAGCGCCACUAUAAAAAUUGCCUGCGCCAUGAUGGGCUUGGGCCGACCACCAGGCCCCUGAAGAAAGCCUACCGGCGCUAUAGGUUGAGAUGUAAACAAAAAAAAAGUUACCUCAUUUAUCACAUUUACCGACAUACAAGGGGAGCAGGUUAUCUCAUUUAUCAUAUAUACCGACAUACAAGGGGUGCAGGUUAUCUCAUUUAUCACAUAUACCGACAUACAAGGGGUGCAGGUUAUCUCAUUUAUCACAUAUACCGACAUACAAGGGGAGCAGGUUAUCUCAUUUAUCACAUAUACCGACAUACAAGGGGUGCAGGUUAUCUCAUUUAUCACAUAUACCGACAUACAAGGGGUGCAGGUUAUCUCAUUUAUCACAUAUACCGACAUACAAGGGGAGCAGGUUAUCUCAUUUAUCACAUAUACCGACAUACAAGGGGUGCAGGUUAUCUCAUUUAUCACAUAUACCGACAUACAAGGGGUGCAGGUUAUCUCAUUUAUCACAUUUACCGACAUACAAGGGGAGCAGGUUAUCUCAUUUAUCACAUAUACCGACAUACAAGGGGAGCAGGUUAUCUCAUUUAUCACAUAUACCGACAUACAAGGGGUGCAGGUUAUCUCAUUUAUCACAUUUACCGACAUACAAGGGGAGCAGGUUAUCUCAUUUAUCAAAUUUACCGACAUACCUCAUUUACUGACAUACAAAGGGUGCAGGAAGAAACUUUCAUAUUUCAAGCAAUUUUCAAAUUCAAAACAUACGUCAACAUUUACUUUUAAAAAGAUAAAAAAAAAAACUCAGGUGGGACAUAUCGCGAUAGGCAGUCAACAAAGACACUGUACUGUGUUGCAAUUCAUCCACUCUUUGUUUGUAAACAAAUCCCGCUCAUGCAUAGAUUGGAUGGUAUGUCUUAGGAUAUGUGGAUGGCAGACGACACCACACCGGGUAGGACACAUAGCAAUGGGUUUUAGUUGGAUAAGUUCAGGUUCAACAAAGACAUAGGCAAGAAUUGGUUUACCAACAGUGGUGGAUGAGUGGAACAGACGUAGAAGUCAUGUGGUGAGCGCCAACACGAUAGAUACGUUCAAGAAGAGGUUAGAUAAGUUCUUGGAUGGGAGGGGUAUGGGGCGUUGGUUUGGUGCCGAGGUCUGGGCGGCAUGUUGCGCUGUCUCGCGAGACCUCCUUCCUCCUCCUCCUCUUGUUGCGGGAGGAGCACGACGGGUGGGUGGGGGGGGUGUCGAGGGAAGGCAAAGCCGUCCCUCCGGUUAAGAAAGUGGGGGAGUCGAGGCGGGGCGAAGCCCCCCCCUUUUAGCUUAGGUUUUCCGAAAAGGAACUGCCGCCUGCCAUUAGAGGGUGGUAACACUGCAGCAGAAAAUGCAUAACUGACAACUGGGGCAGGCCACUCAGUUACUGGAGUGGGCAGAAGCCCACUACUGCAGCCCACACCACACUGUCAUGGCGUCGUGUAACAAGUCCCGCCAAGCAAAUAAAGCAACUUUGCGCCUGCGCGUCUUGUUCAUGAUACUUUACCAGGAUUAAAUAAAUUAACGAUCAAUAAUUAUCGCUUAAUUUUAUAAAUAAAGACGCUUAUUGAAGUAACUAUUUAGCAACAUGUAUAAAAAUAAUUGUAAGAAGUCCGCAGUCACUUGUUGCCAUGACAACGCUGACCACUUUCUUUUCUGUGAUCGGUGAUCGGAAGUUAGUUUGUGAAGUUCCGAUGUCCACAGUCCGAUUACAUUUUACAAAGAUGAUACAAUCUUUGCAUUCCGAUCGCCAAUUGCUGUUCCGAUCAGAUCGGAAGAUCGGACAAUCGGACUGAUG